AUUAGCCAUGCAUGUCUCAGUACUAACCGCUUUAAGGCGAAACCGCGAAUGGCUCAUUAAAUCAGUUAUGGUUCCUUGGAUCUUACCCACACUUACAUGGAUAACUGUGGUAAUUCUAGAGCUAAUACAUGAACCUCGUGCCCCGACCAGUGAUGGAAGGGGUGCUUUUAUUAGAACAAAACCAAUCGGUCGGUCUUCCGUCCGUUGCCUUGGUGACUCUGAAUAACUUUUGGCUGAUCGCACGGUCCUAGCACCGGCGACGCAUCUUUCAAAUGUCUGCCUUAUCAACUUUCGAUGGUAGGUUCUGCGCCUACCAUGGUUGUAACGGGUGACGGGGAAUCAGGGUUCGAUCCCGGAGAGGGAGCCUGAGAAACGGCUACCACAUCCAAGGAAGGCAGCAGGCGCGCAAAUUACCCACUCCCGGAACGGGGAGGUAGUGACGAAAAAUAACGAUACGGGACUCAUCCGAGGCCCCGUAAUCGGAAUGAGAACACUUUAAAUCCUUUAACGAGGAUCUAUUGGAGGGCAAGUCUGGUGCCAGCAGCCGCGGUAAUUCCAGCUCCAAUAGCGUAUAUUAAAGUUGUUGCGGUUAAAAAGCUCGUAGUCGGAGGUGUGUCUCGGACGGUCGGUUCGCCGCUUGUCGGUGCUCAACUGGCCGGUCCGGACGUCCUGCCGGUGGGGCCGCGAGGCUCCGUUAUCCUUCUUUGGUCCUCUUCACCGAGUGCCUUGGUGGGCCGGCACGUUUACUUUGAACAAAUUAGAGUGCUCAAAGCAGGCCGUUGGUCGCCUGAAUACUGUGUGCAUGGAAUAAUGGAAUAGGACCUCGGUUCCAUUUUGUUGGUUUUCAGAACUCGAGGUAAUGAUUAAUAGGGACGGACGGGGGCAUUCGUAUUGCGACGUUAGAGGUGAAAUUCUUGGAUCGUCGCAAGACGAACCGAUGCGAAAGCAUUUGCCAAGAACGUUUUCGUUGAUCAAGAACGAAAGUUAGAGGGUU
rnacentral:rRNA from 1 species